GCCUAUCUCAGUUCGGAUUGGAGGCUGAAACCCGCCUCCAUGAAGUUGGAUUCGCUAGUAAUCGCGCAUCAGCCAUGGCGCGGUGAAUACGUUCCCGGGCCUUGUACACACCGCCCGUCACACCAUGGGAGUCGGAAAUGCCCGAAGUCUGUGACCCAACCUACGGGAGGGAGCAGCCGAAGGCAGGUCGGAUGACUGGGGUGAAGUCGUAACAAGGUACC
rnacentral:rRNA from 1 species